rnacentral:misc_RNA from 1 species
UGCCAAUCUAUGUUCCAUCUCAACACCCUCAGCGCCAAUUUGUCCCAAACUUCAGACUUAGAGCACAUCACAUCAAUGCUGAAUUCAGAUGUUGGACGUUUUCAGUUUCUUAUGAAAACGCUCGCACCACAGCUCAUAGCCCAUAGUAGCUACGCCAAUCGACAGUUCAUACGUUGUACCACUCUUUAUCAUUUGGUAUAUAGAUAGACAGAUCACAGAAAACCGUCAG